GUGGCCAAUGAACGAUACCCGCCCCUCCUCUCUUGGACUUAGCCACGCCCUUCAUUAGUUCCUGAGGGGAUUUUUCAGAACAGAGGUUAUGGCAGUUUCACUAUCCAAUUCCAUUUUUAGCAGGUGUGCUUCCUGACCAAAGAAGUCAGAUGAGUGCAUGAGCAGCCCCUUCAAGGACAAGGCUUGGAUUCCCAGGAGCAGACAAGGAACUCUGUGGGCAUACUCCAAGGAAUCUGGACCUCCUCUGUCACAGGACAUCCACUGUUUAAGCACCACCACUACCUCAGGAAGUCCACUGUCUGUGUGUCAACUCCACUGUUACAGGACCAUAAGUGUCUCAGCACUUCAACUAUCACAGCACUUCUACUGUUCAGGAGCUCAAGAGUCUCAGCAUCUCAAGUGUCACAGGACCUCCUUUGUCCAAGAACUGGACUGUCCAAGCAACACUACUAUUGCGGGACCUCCACUGUCACAGGACUUCCACUGUAGGAGCACUACAACUGUCUCAGGACACCCACUGUCCUAUAACCUCCACUAUCCCAGGAAUUCCACUGUCGUAGCACCACCCGUAGCAACUAAAGUGUUUCAGGACAUCAACUGAAGCAAGAUCUCCCAUGAUUCUGCAACUUCACUGCCACAGGAUCUCUACAGUGACAGGAAUACCCCUGAAUCAGCAAUUCCAAUUUUGCAGGACCUCCACUGUAGCAGAACCUUCAAUUGUGCAGCAGCUCCCCUGUAGGUAGAUUGACCUCCAUGAUCUCAGUGCAUCGAUUUUCAAAGGACCUUCACUGUCACAGAACCGGCGCUAUUUCAGUGCCUCCACUGUCGCAGGACCUACCUCUUCACAGGAUCUGCACUGUUGCAGCAACUGUAAUUUCAAUUUUUCAAAGUCAUUGCUGUUUAUAUUUGAGGCUGAAUGAAAUGUGAUGCUACUUUUGAAAGCAUAAAAAUUUGUUCUAUAGCUCUUGUGAUAAAUGCCGUGUGUGCUUGGACCAGUAAACUAUGGAAGACUUCAUGAGCUCAUACCACUCUCCACCUCACUUUGUGGAAGCUGGUGUUUUUAGAGUGUGAUAAACUUCAGGUGAAUGGAUGCAUUCAGCUGCACCACGCUCUAGAGUGGGCUACACAGCCGUCAUAUUGAGUCCUUGCUGGGAAGAGAAGAAAUCCAGAGGAGGGAGAAGGCUUGGGUUGGGGGAAGUAUCAUAAAAUACUUAUUAGAUAUAAGAAGGUAAGAAUUAUGGGGAACUGGAAAACAGAGCCAGAGGAAGAAUGAGCACAGAGCAAACUGGGAAGGACAAAGUACAAAGGCACUUGGGUUUUGCCAUCUGCAUGUUCUCUGGAAAAUCUCCCUUGGCCUCAUUUCUGGGAGAAAACUCUUCCUCCACCCCCUUGUAAGUUUUCAUUCUUGAAGGAAAGCAGCAACACAACUUCAUCAGUGAAUUUCCCCAUUGGAAUUGGUUCAUCCUUUAAUGCCUCUGGGAAAUCCCCAGAUGGGGAAUGUCCUGCUCUCUGCUGAAGGACAGCAGGAAAGUAGGUUGUCCUCUGUUUUCUCGUUGCUACAGCUCUUCCAAAUGUGGCUUAUUGGCGAGUGAAGACACAGGACACUUCUGGUGUGUAUGUAUGCUUUGUUCGCUGUGGGUGUUGUCGGUAGUGUCCUGAAAAGAAGAAGGGCAUGCCCAAUGGCUCUUUGCUUCCUCUUUGACUAGCCUUAUGAUCAUAGGGAUACACUAGGCCAUUGGAAGAUGAGGAGAACAAUGUGUCUAUGUUGUGUUCACUUCUAUUCCUAUUUAGUCCUUGAGGGAAAUCAGCAAGGGUAGAGAAGGGGACCGUAACUGGACAAAGCUGCUGAGCCUGUGUUGUGCAGCAAUUCCUGUGUAUAACUUGAUGUUACAUUAAGCAAUAGGAUGUCAUGUUCUGUUUAUACCUUUUUGAUGCAAUGAAUCUAUAAUAUUUUACCUCAAACCUCAAUAUAUUACGUUUCUUCCUCUUUUGGAGAAUCUGGCAUGGGAGGGAUCACUUCUUCAUAAGGAUUUGUGAACCUCUUCCAGUUUUCAUUGACCAGGGGUACAUCAUCACCUCUGUGACUGUCAGCCCAUAGUUUGGAUUUACUUUCAGUAAUAGGCUAAGCUGUCUCUUCUGACAACCCACAGUGAGCAGGGUACACACCUGCUACAACCUGUCUUCUGAACUGUUGUAUGUCAACAGAGUCAAAUACAACAGUGAAAUAUAAGCCUACUCCUAAGAUCCAUAUGUUGGUUUUUUUUUUUUGCACCACCAUAAAGUUGUCCUAGGAAGAGAUCAGGUGCACCAAUAGGGUAAGCACCAUGCUGCCAGUUCAGCAUUUGCCCAGAUUUGUCUUGAGUUGAAGGCCAAAGUCGAUGCUUUUGACUUUUCUGUUCUUCUUUAACAAAAUAUAAUCUGGUUUCAGGUCACUGUGAACUUAUACAGUGCCCAUAGCCAUAGAUAAAGCCUGCUAAUAUUUGCCUAAAUAUUUCCUUGGCUCCUUCCUCCUCUCGGUGGAAAGACUUUCAGAUGUAUUUGUAAAGCUGUAAAAUUUCAACCAGUUUCACGAUAAGUUAUUAGAAUUGUCUCAGACUCAAUUGGAGAAGCAAGAUGAUGUUGGGGUGGAUGAAAAACUUCAUUAUAUUUGCCAUGGUCAUGUUUGGCUGGCACCAUUGCUUCUUCUUUGCAUGCACUUUGAUAACCCCUGUAGCAGAACUUCCACUGUCCCAGCACCUGAACUAUCCCAAGACCUCCACAGUCAAAGGACCAAUAUUGUGGUAGGGCGUCUGUGGUCAGGCAAUUCCUCUGUCUCAGACCCUCCAAAUUGCAAGACCUUUACGGGCACUGGAAGUCACUGUCCCUAAACUUCCACUGUUGGAGUACCUCAACUGUAACAAGGACCUCUACUAUUGUACAACCCCCUUGUCAUAGCAUGUCUAUUGUUACAAAGUAGUCCACUGUCAAAGGACCUCCAGGGUCUCAGCCUCUCCACUGUUACAGGAUCUCUACUGUCUUAGGACCACUGCUGUUGGAGGACCUCCUGUCUCUCAGCAACUUCAGUUUGUUGGAGCUCUCCUAUCAGAGGACAUUUACAUUUGCUGUACUUCCAGUGUCACAGCUGUUAUAAGAACCUCCAUUCUCACAGGACCUCCAGUGCGUCAGUACCUCCACUGUCCAAGGACUUUUAUAUUGUAGGACCUCUACUGUCCUACAGAAUGUCCACUGUUGCUAGAUUUCCACUGUCACAACACCACAACCAUUACAAGAACUGCAAUUUUGGCAUGAGCUCCAGUGUUCCAGCCCCUCCAGUGUCAUAGGACUUCCACUAUCCCAGGACGUCCACUGUCUCACCAAGGCCAAUUUAAAGGACCUCUACUAUAACAGGUUAUCCACUGUAGCUGGACUUACACUGUUGCAGUACCUCAACUGUUGCAGGACCAACAAGGUUGCAGGACAUAGACACUCUCAGCAGCUAGAAUUUGCAGGACCUCUACUGGCACACAAAUUCCACAGUUGCUGGAGCUCCACUGUCACUGCAAAUGCACUGUCUCAUGAUAUUCACUGUUGCUGGACCAGUAGUGUGGCAGCACAUCCAUUUUUGCCAAGCCCCUCCACUGACGCAAGACUUCCACUUUUAUAGCACCUUCACUGUCCAAGCAAACCAACUCCUGCAGGAUCUCCAUUGUCUCAGGGCAUUCACUAAUGCCAGCUCUCCAAUGUUGUAGUACUUUUUAAAAAUUCCUCUAAAAAAGGUUACUUUGUUAUUUACAAAUUACAAUUCAGGUGUUGAGAAAAUAAAUAAGGUCAGUUUCCCCCCUAGAUACUAAGUAAAUAAAAUGUUUUUCUAGACACAA